CGUGUAGGCGGCCUGGUAAGUACCUUGUGAAAUCCCCCGUCUCAACCGGGGCACUGCUUGGUAUACUGCCGGGCUUGAGGUAGGUAGGGGUGCCUGGAACUCUAGGUGGAGCGGUGAAAUGCGUAGAUAUCUAGAGGAACGCCUGUGGCGAAAGCGGGGCACUGGGCCUAUCCUGACGCUGAGGCGCGAAAGCGUGGGUAGCAAACGGGAUUAGAUACCCCGGUAGUCCACGCCGUAAACGAUGCGCACUAGGCAUAUUGGUCUCUGACGGCCAGUGGGCCGAAACAAAAGCGUUAAGUGCGCCGCCUGGGGAGUACGGCCGCAAGGCUAAA
rnacentral:rRNA from 1 species